GAUGAAGAACGUAGCAAAAUGCGAUAAGUAAUGUGAAUUGCAGAAUUCAGUGAAUCAUCGAAUCUUUGAACGCACAUUGCGCCCGCCAGUAUUCUGGCGGGCAUGCCUGUUCGAGCGUCAUUUCAACCCUCAAGCUCAGCUUGGUGUUGGGACUCGCGGUAACCCGCGUUCCCCAAAUCGAUUGGCGGUCACGUCGAGCUUCCAUAGCGUAGUAAUCAUACACCUCGUUACUGGUAAUCGUCGCGGCCACGCCGUAAAACCCCGACUUCUGAAUGUUGACCUCGGAUCAGGUAGGAAUACCCGCUGAACUUAAGCAUAUCAAUAAGCGGAGGA
rnacentral:misc_RNA from 1 species